rnacentral:rRNA from 1 species
CAGUCGCCGCGGGAAUACGAAGGGGGCUAGCGUUGUUCGGAUUUACUGGGCGUAAAGGGCGCGUAGGCGGACUGAUAAGUCAGGGGUGAAAUCCCAAGGCUCAACCUUGGAACUGCCUUUGAUACUGUCUGUCUUGAGUUCGAGAGAGGUAAGUGGAACUGCGAGUGUAGAGGUGAAAUUCGUAGAUAUUCGGAAGAACACCAGUGGCGAAGGCGGCUUACUGGCUCAUUCUAGACGCUGAGGUGCGAAAGCGUGGGGAGCAAACAGGAUUAGAGACCCCAGUAGUCCCUGUCUCUUAUAC